rnacentral:rRNA from 1 species
GUGACAGCCGCCGCGGUAAUACGUAGGGGGCGAGCGUUAUCCGGAAUCAUUGGGCGUAAAGAGUGCGUAGGCGGCUUUGUAAGCGUGGGGUGAAAGGCAGCGGCUCAACCGUUGUAAGCCCCGCGAACUGCAUGGCUUGAGUGCAGGAGAGGAAAGCGGAAUUCCUAGUGUAGCGGUGAAAUGCGUAGAUAUUAGGAGGAACACCAGUGGCGAAGGCGGCUUUCUGGACUGUAACUGACGCUGAGGCACGAAAGCGUGGGGAGCGAACAGGAUUAGAUACCCCUGUAGUCC